UAAGAUUAAUGGAUCUUUGACGAGGCUUUUUUCAGUGACCAGAGGCAUAAGGCAAGGCUGUCCGUUAUCAGGCCUUUUGUAUGCGAUGUCUAUAGAACCGCUUUUGAUCAUGCUGAGGAAACAGUUGUGUGGUGUUUCCCUUCCUGAUUCCCCUGAAAUUGCUCCCAUUAAACUUACCGCAUAUGCGGAUGAUGUAACGAUAGUUAUAAAAAAUUUUGAGGAUAUUAACAGGGUAACUUCUUGUUUAAAUAAUUUUCAAAAAGCAUCAUCUGCUUGUAUUAAUUGGGAAAAAUGUACAUCUUUUUUGCUGGGUGAUUGGCAAACGGUUGCGGCCCCAAAAUUGCCAAAACAGUGUAAAUGGGGCAGGGAUGGUUUCAAAAUGCUUGGAGUUUACUUUGGGAAUGAUCAUUAUGAAAAGAAGAAUUGGGAGGGGCUAGUUGAUUGUGUUAACGGUAGACUUCAGAGAUGGAGAUGGCUGCUUUCACAACUUUCUUUUAGAGGAAGAUGCUUGGUAAUUAAUAAUAUAAUUGCUUCAAUGUUGUGGCAUAAGUUUACUGUUCUAGACCCUCCUAAAGACUUGCUUAAAAGUGUUCAAAAGACAUUGGUAAAUUUUUUCUGGGAUGGGUGUCAUUGGCUUCCUCCAGGAGUCCUUUACCUUCCAGUGGCAGAGGGAGGUCAAGGGCUUAUACAUCUCGAGUCAAAGAUCUUGGCAAUGAGGAUGCAAACAUUGCAGAAACUUUUGUAUAGUUCAAAUGAUUUGCCCUGGGUGCGUUUUGGGAGAUCUAUACUUAGGCAUAUUGGUGGAAUAGGUAUGGACAAACAAUUAUUUUUAAUGAAGAAAACGUUUGUCAAAAAGUUUUCUGAUCUGUCUUUUAGCUUUUAUGUCUCAGUGCUCAAAUCAUGGGAAUGUUUUGAGAUAUUCAGAACUAGUGAAGAGCAUUAUGGUGUGGAAGAACCUAUUUUUUUAAUCCGCUUAUUGAGCUUCCCUCAAAUGUAUCCCAGUCUUUAAUCAAUAGAUUCUUGAAUUCUGGUGUUACUAAAGUUAUUGAUUUGAUUGAUUUAAGUAGAGGCCAAUGGAGAACUUCACAGUCACUUGCUGAUCAAGUUGGCUUUAAUUUUCUUAGAGUAAUUGAUGGGUUUGUUAGGGGGUUUAAAUCAUCCAUUCCUCUAUUGUUUGGUCAAUCUGUCAAUCAUGUUUUGGAGAAUGGUGUUGUAUUGAUGAACUUCCCUAAGUUAAAGGUGGUUCCCAGAGAAUGUGGCAUUGAUGAGACUGGUUAUGUUUCCUUAUUAAAAGGUUAUGGAGAAUUGGC
ensembl:lncRNA